CCUACGGGGGGCUGCAGUGGGGAAUCUUGCGCAAUGGGCGAAAGCCUGACGCAGCCAUGCCGCGUGGAUGAUGAAGGUCUUAGGAUUGUAAAAUCCUUUCACCGGUGAAGAUAAUGACUGUAGCCGGAGAAGAAGCCCCGGCUAACUUCGUGCCAGCAGCCGCGGUAAUACGAAGGGGGCUAGCGUUGCUCGGAAUUACUGGGCGUAAAGGGAGCGUAGGCGGACAUUUAAGUCAGGGGUGAAAUCCCGAGGCUCAACCUCGGAACUGCCUUUGAUACUGGGUGUCUUGAGUGUGAGAGAGGUAUGUGGAACUCCGAGUGUAGAGGUGAAAUUCGUAGAUAUUCGGAAGAACACCAGUGGCGAAGGCGACAUACUGGCUCAUUACUGACGCUGAGGCUCGAAAGCGUGGGGAGCAAACAGGAUUAGAUACCCCAGUAGUC
rnacentral:rRNA from 1 species